rnacentral:rRNA from 1 species
GUGACCUGCGGAGGAUCAUUAAAAAUUCAAUGACAUUAGGGUAAAUUGAUAAAUCCCAUAUAGAAGUGUAACAGCCCCUUCAGAAAUGAGGGGGGUGUCUUCGCGGGAUGUACGGUAAAAGUCCGUAGCCUUUUUUGGUAUUACCACAACUCUUCUGUGUACCUAUUACUUGUUGCUUCCCUGGGGUAACUCAGGGAAGGCAUACAUACACUCUGCUUAUUGAAGUCAGUCUGAACUUGUUUAUUUAUAAACGUUAAAACUUUCAACAACGGAUCUCUUGGUUCUCGCAUCGAUGAAGAACGCAGCGAAAUGCGAUAAGUAGUGUGAAUUGCAGAAUUCAGUGAAUCAUCGAAUCUUUGAACGCACAUUGCGCCCUCUGGUAUUCCGGAGGGCAUGCCUGUUCGAGCGUCAUCAAAACUACUCAAGCUAAGGUUUACCUUCUGCUUGGUCUUGGAAUUGGAAUUGAAUUUUUCCUUUCUGAAAUACAGUGGCGAAUUGACUGUGCUGUAAACGUAGUAACUUUACCCGUUGAAAGCAUGUUCACAUUCCGCCAUAACCCCCUCUAUUUUCUAGUUUGACCUCGGAUCAGGUAGGGAUACCCGCUGAACUUAAGCAUAUCAAUAAGCGGAGGAAAAGAAACCAACAGGGAUUGCCUUAGUAACUGCGAGUGAAGCGGCAAAAGCUCAAAUUUGAAAUCUGGGGCCUCACAGCCUCCGAAUUGUAAUUUCGCGAUACGUUUUCGACUGAAGGCUCUGCUUUAAGUUCCUUGGAACAGGACGUCACAGAGGGUGAGAAUCCCGUGAUAGGUGGAGCCUGAUGCAUAUGAUACGUAUUCAACGAGUCGAGUUGUUUGGGAAUGCAGCUCAAAAUGGGUGGUAAAUUUCAUCUAAAGCUAAAUAUUGGCGAGAGACCGAUAGCGCACAAGUAGAGUGAUCGAAAGAUGAAAAGCACUUUGAAAAGAGAGUUAAAAAGUACGUGAAAUUGUUGAAAGGGAAGCGCUUGAGACCAGACUCAAUCUGUGGUGAUCAACUUGGCUUCUGUCAGGUGCACUUGCCACUUAUUGGGACAGCAUCGGUUUUGGCGGUGGGAUAAAGUCUUGAGGAAUGUAGCUAUCUUCGGGUAGUGUUAUAGCCUCUUGAGUAAUGCUACCAGCCGGGACCGAGGACCGCGCUCGG